rnacentral:ribozyme from 1 species
AAGAAGGAAACAACAAACAUCAAAACCCGGGAAUCCAAGAAGAAAGCAGAAAACACCAAAACCCGUGAAUCUGAAUUUCCACCUAGUUUUCUCUUUUCAUCUUUUAUUUUGUUUCUCUAUCAUGAUUAUCAUAUUGUGUGUGUUU